UCUCCCAGCAGGACGAGGCCCUCACCCUCCAUGCCCUCCAAGGUGACCAGCUUGAUGAAUAAGGUUCCCAGUGGCUGCCUUCCCUUCCCACCGCCCUUCCUGCUCUCCUGUCGAUGUUUCCUGGGGGUGCCUCCCAGACACACUAUUCCCACCCCGUCUCAGGGUGCUGUGCUUCGGGUCUACGGAGCUCUCCUUUCUCCUGAGACCCUGAGACCCACAAAGCACAGCUGCUGUGACUAAUAGACUUGAUGCGAUCCCUGGGAAUCAACAUUCCUCAUGCUGGACAAUUCUUUUUAAGAAAUGAAGAAUCUGAGUCCCAGAAGAGUGAGGACCUCAAAGAUCUGAUCACCUGUGACCACCUGAGGUCCCACAGCAAUCCUGGUGGGUGAGCACAUAGUGACCAAUAAACAUUUGCGGAAUGAAUGCGUAAGUCUCAUUGGUUGAAGGCAAGGUGAGACACAUUAUAGAGUUUCUCAGUCCCUUUAUGCAUCUUAUUUUGCUUCUUAACAAUUUCUUGUUUUCCCUUACGGAA